AACGGUCUAUACCUGCGGUACCUGCGGAAGGAUCAUUACCGAGUUUUCAACUCCCAAACCCCAUGUGAACUUAUACCAUUUACAACCGUUGCUUCGGCGGGUUCUCGCCCCGGGCUUUACACCCCGGAACCAGGCGGCCCGCCGGGGGACCCAAACUCUAGAUUUAUAUUUUAGCAUGUCUGAGUGGAAUCAUUACAAAAUGAAUCAAAACUUUUAACAACGGAUCUCUAGAUCGGAAGA
rnacentral:misc_RNA from 1 species